GGUUAAGCGAAGAAAGGCACAGGGCGGAUGCCCUGGCACUGGGAGCCGAAGAAAGACGUGAUAAGCUGCGAAAAGCUGCGGGGAGUGGCAAAUACACUGUGAUCCGCAGAUAUCUGAAUGGGGAAACCCGCGCAGGAAGCCCCUGCGCAUCCAUAACAGAAUAAGGGGAGAACCCUAAUAGGUUAUGGAGGGGAACCCGGCGAACUGAAACAUCUAAGUAGCCGGAGGAAAAGAAAACAAAAGUGAUUCCCGAAGUAGCGGCGAGCGAACCGGGAUUAGCCCAAACCGGUAUGCGUGUCAUACCGGGGUGAGGACUGCAAAAAGGUACUGCGGAGAGUAACAGAACAGGCAUGGGAAGGCCGGCCGGAGAGGGUGAGAGCCCCGUAAGUGAAACAGGAAGCAGACCAGGCAGGAUCCAGAGUACUGCGGGGCACGAGAAACCCAGCAGGAAGAUACGGGGACCACCCCGAAAGGCUAAAUACUACCCAGUGACCGAUAGAGUAAAGUACUGUGAAGGAAAGGUGAAAAGGACCCCGGGAGGGGAGUGAAAGAGAACCUGAAACCCUGUGUCCACAAGCUGUGGAAGCAUGGAGACAUGCAACCGCGUACUUUUUGUAGAACGGUCCGGCGAGUUGCGCAUGCAGGCAAGGUUAAGCCGCUAAGCGGCGGAGCCGAAGUGAAAGCGAGCGUUAAGAGCGCGCAGAGUCGGCAUGAGCAGACCCGAAACCGGGUGACCUAUCCAUGUCCAGGCUGAAGCUGCCGUAAAAGGCAGUGGAGGGCCGAACCCACAUCCGUUGAAAAGGGUGGGGAUGAGGUGUGGAUAGCGGAGAAAUUCCAAUCGAACCCGGAGAUAGCUGGUUCUCCCCGAAAUAGCUUUAGGGCUAGCCCUUCAUAUACCUGCCGGAGGUAGAGCACUGAAUUUCCUAGGGGGCGUCAAAGCCUACCGAAGAAUAUCAAACUCCGAAUGCCGGGAAGGAAAAG
rnacentral:rRNA from 1 species